GCCCGCUUUAGGGACCGCGGUGCGCGCUGCGCGCUCCGUGCGUGUGUUGCGUGUGUGUGUGUGUGUGUGUGUGUGUGUGUGUGUGUGUGUGUGUGCGCUGCCGGGGGGGUGCGCGCGGGGUGCGUGUGCGUGUGUUGCACCAGCAAGGCAGAUCGGAGGGAGACAAGAAUUACAUCUCCAGAUCCCAGAAACUAAGGUGCUACUUCACCCAGCUCCGCGAAAUAAAAGAAAGAAAUGAAAGCGAGCAAGCAGACAAAACAGCAAACUUUCUGUUUGGGGAAACACAUCCUCGCCUGGCCGGGCUGCAGCACGAACAGUUUUGGCCAGAAAUGGUGAGAAGAAAAAGCAUGAAGAAGCCGCGAAGUGGAGGAGAAAAGGUGAAGGGAGAUGCAGCUCCUGGAGAAAUUGUAAAAGCCUCGCAAAGAGUUGUCGGAAGGACCGUUAUUCCUGCUGG